AAAGACUACAAAAAAAAAAACAAGUUCUAAUAAUAAGUAUACAUUGUUGAGUUAUUUAAAAUUAUGGCUAGUAAAAUAAAUUUACACAAAAAAAAGUUAAAUUAUGUAUAGGUUAUAACUUGUGUAACAUAAUAUAAUUCAUAUUACUAUGGAUUAUGAUGGGUACUUAAAUAUUUAGUUUAUUAGCAUGAAAGCAUGAAAUCUAAAUUUAAUUCAAAAUUUUGGGGUACACUAUUUACUUAAUACAAUAUACAUACAUGUAUAUACAGUCAUAUUUACACAUAAUUUUCGGAGUUUUUAGUAUAUAAAUUUGCGUUUAAUUCACGGGGAUGCAUGUAAGGAACGGAGUAACUUUUCUUUAAAAAGAAAAAUGUUUAAUCGAACCUCUUCUAAUUAUAUCUUUAUCAACAACAUAUUUUUUACACUUUUUCAUCCCUCUUCCAUUUUUCCCGAUUCGAGUAAUAUAACUAAAACGAUGUGAUUGAUGUCUAGGGUGGUUACACUUUAAGUUAGUUUAAAUUAGGUAAUCUAGGCACCCAGCUAAUUUUAAAAACAACUAACAAGUGUUGUUGUUUUGUAGUAAAUGGAAACUCUUUUAAUAGUAGUGUUAUUAAUAUGUUAUUUAUUAUUAUUUAUAACAAUAUACAAAAUAAUAUGUAAGUUAUAAAGUCAUAAAAGUAUAGUAAUAGAUGAUCUUGUAUCGUAUUGACGUUGAUAGUAUUUUAUGAUUUAAAUAACCUAACUUUUCGUUUCGUCUGUGCCUUGAUUCAUUUUGCUACGCAUAUUCUUAUCGUUUAUACAAAAAAUAAUAUCAUAUUUAGUAUUUGAUCGUUCGAGCUUGAGGCAUAUAUGUAUUCGGUAUUAGGUAUACUAACACCGUCCUCUUAACGUUUUUGUUCGAAUACGAUCGAUAAAGUAAUAUGAUACUGGAGUACCGGGCACGCGCGAACUUGGGGAACAGUAUUGUAGCAGACCCACCGUGGCUGUCCCUCCGUCAAUCCAUUUUAUCUGGUGACGCAAGGCCGCGCUAUCGUUGCCGCCCCCUCACAGGUUGCUGUUUUCGUGAAACAGCGCACACCGUUCUCCCAUUUAAUCAUAUACGGUUUAUUCGGUAGUUACGCGUUGACCGUUUUUGGCUUUUCGCGUGAUAAUCACGGCGCCUGUUCGAACGUUGUAUCGAACAAUCGUCGUUUGCUUAAUUCAUAGACUAAUUAUUAUUUUAUUUUAAGUAGGUACUUGUUAUACUGCUAUAGACAGGCACUACUUCAAAGUUUAUUUUUGAACACGAUUGUAUCAGACACAGGGGAUUCUUAUAAUGGAAGUCGCUAAUUAUCAUUUACUAUUUAUGACAAUAUUUCUAGUAUUUGAGUAUAAUUGUUAUCCAGAUCUCAUUGAAGUAAUUAAAUUAAAAGCUACAUUUUUAACUGAGAAAUAUUUUUGGAGAGGAUUGGGAAUAAUUAUAGUCUUAAUAGACAUUUACUAUUUACAUAUAUUGGUGCCCAAACUGAAUUUCUUGUCAAAUGGAGGCUUUUGUAAUUUUUCAAAUUACAAUGAAGCAAUGAACAUUUAUGAUAUCUUCAAACUUAGUUUAUUCAUACUGUUCUUACAUUAUUACGUAAAAUUUUUUACAUACAGACGUGAAUGGGUAAGUUAUAAAUGGCUGGAGAAUUUCAUAAUUGUUGGAUCAUACAUAGUAGUUUUCAUAAUAGUUUUAAUGUUGAGCUACCUAGGCUUAAUUAUAGUUCCAAGUACUGCAUUUGAAAAAAUAGCAUUUUUUAUUUUAAUAGUUGUAAGUUAUUUUGCUUAUUACAUUGCUUGUGCAACAGAUUGGUUAGAUGAGUACAUUUACUCAUCGUGUUAUACUUAUACCUCUACUGUUAAUCACAUCGUAUUGAAAGGUCGAAAAUAUUUGACGUUAACCGACUUGGCAAUACGUUGGCGGCCUAAAAAAACAAAGAAAAUUACCCAGAAGAAAGAAGAAAUUGUCCAAUCAACACCACAAGAUCCCAUAAUAAAUAAAUAUCUCUUAGUGAAUAAAGGCCUUAAUGAUAACCAUCAAUCCUUAAAGACGUCUCAGUCCCCAGAUUGUGAAAGUGAAUAUCUUCAACCUACCAGGAUUGUCCGUCCAAAUACUUAUUACGAUCAACCUGAUAAAUUUGCUCCAUCGAUCUGUCCACCGCGACCGAGUGUGCCGAUUGCUAUGGAUACCGAAUACCACGGUCGGGCAAGUGUGCGCAGCGACCGUGGGCGUUAAAUACCUACUAACACAAUGUCGAUGUGUUGGCCAAGUUCGCUCAUUCAUUUGACGUCGUCUUCCGUUUCGUCCUUCACGUGCACACUACUUUCAACUAAAAUGUAGUCCCUCCGUGCGGAGUCGUCGCCAGAAGGGCGUACCAAAAACUCCCGACUCAAAUACAUCGAUCGGGAAUCGGACCUACAUCUGAAUGUACUGGUCGUUUAAGACGUGCAGCUGUUGUUAGUAACCACCUACACGUCUAGUUACAGUACAAGAUUGAAACAUCGCCUUUGAAGUCUGCUGAAAUACUGUUCAAACACAGAUCAUCACAAACAAUGCAUCGAUGGACGGGGUACAGAGAUAUUUACUCCUACUUUUUAGUGGAGUCAACAUCUGUGGUUCCGCAAUCUAGUAUAUAAUACAACUUUCCAGUGUUGUGUUCUUAACCACGGUCAAACCGAUCAAGGAAGGAACGUUGUUACGCUUUGGUUGGUUUUCUUCGACACAACACACAAGAUAUCAACUAUCAACACGUAAUGAGCCCACCACCGUUAAACAAAAACAUUUUGCAACAGUGUACUUAUUCUCAUACUAAUUGUAGUAAGGUAUAUAAAAGUAUUAAUAUGCGUGAUAAUUAAUAAUAUAAACUAACGAACGUAUUUCUUUAUCAUUUAAGUAUAGAGAGUUAACUAGAUAAUUAUAAAUACCUAGGUAAUAUGCUAAGUAAUUGUAACCAAAGUAUUUAUAUAUAUAUAUUACACUAACUUGAUUUAUAAGUUUUUAAUAAUAAACGUUAAUUACUGUUAAUCUCUAUAAAAAAUAGUGUACUUAGAUUUUUAAAAAAAAAAUAUAUUUUGAUGUACAUUCAUAGAGAAUGGUUGCAUAUAUACUAUUUACCUAAAACAAAAUGUAUAUACUCAAAUUAAAAAUUUAGUAGAUUCUUCAAUCAUGGGCAUAAUUUAUUUUAACUAAUUUUCCAAAAUUAAAAUAAUUUAAUUUGAAUAACUUGAAAUAUACAAAAAUAAGUAACAAAAAAAUAAUGAAAGUUUGAUUAAAUACUUUGUAAAUUAUAUUUUAUUAUACAUUAUUAAAAUUAAUAAUCGAAAAUGGUUAAACAUAAAAUCCUUUACGUUAUACAACAUCAUAAAAGCUAUUCCCUACAACUAUCAACUAAUUAAUAGGAAAUAUUAACUUACUUGGUCAACUUACAAAUCAUGUCUACUUACUAUCACUUAAUUGGUAAAAAUUAUUUUAACUUAUUUAUUUAAAAUUUUAAUAAUUAAAUAUAAAUUACUAAUACAAGCUACAUUAUUGAUAAGAGAUUAACUUAAUUUAUGUUUAUUUAAUGUGUUUAUUAUUUCUUAAUUGUAUUAGUGAAUAAGUAAUUAUAAGAAGUAGUCAAAAUUUCUGUGAUAACUACCUUUCAUCAACAAAAGUAAUUUUGUUAUUCAUUACCAGAGCCGUUAGGUUAACCUAACCAUGGGGGGAGGGGCUAGGGGACAUGCGCCUGUGGCGCAUGGUUUAAACUGUUUAAAGGGUUAUAAAAAAUUUUUUUUUAGAAUAUUAGGGGGCUAAUAUUUAACCGCCCUGGACAUUAAAUCUUAACGGCACGGCUCUGUUCAUUACUAAUACACAAAUAUAUAAUUUAUACUAGCCACUAGGAUGUAUCAUCCAAAAUGUGUUAGAAUUUUGUCUUGUGUAAAGUUUUUAGUACUAGGCUGGUUAGAAUAAUAAUAAUUAUUAUAACAAGAUAAGAUAUAAAGAUGCUUAAUCAUUAUAAAUGUAAUCAAUAGUUAAUCUGUAAUUCUCUAAAACUGUCAACAACCAACUCAAAUCUAAAUGUGUUCUCUCCAAAAAUUGUAUUUAAUAGCUCUAUUACAAUAUAGCUGUUAAUAACCAUUAAAAAUUAUUUUAAUUGGUUUAGAAAAUAGUUUUAAAAUUUUAACUAAAAUUAUAUAAACAAUAAACAACAACAAAAUUAUGUAAGUUAAACUAAUUUGUUUAAAAAUGUGUGUGUUUGUUAUAUUUUGUAUAAGAACAAUAAAUUAAAGAGGAUGACCACACUUAAAAACCUUUGUGAUAUUCAACAUCAUAGUUAAAUGUCAUCCUCUUCAAUUUUGCACUACCAAUUAAUGUUAAAUGCACUUUUUUAAAAAAUUAUGUCAGGUAAAUAAAAUGUACUUUAACAGAUUUUCUAAAAUCUUAUCAAAUAAAAUUUUAAUAACAAUUAUUCAUUAGAAUAUACGAUUCCGUAAAUUUCAUUCACACACACAUAUAUUAUAUAUGUGUAUAGGUAUAUAUUAAAACAUAAUUCCACAUACGUUUAAAUUCAACAUUGCUAUGCCAAAAACCUGAUAGACAAAAUAUAGUUGUAUUGUUGUUACAACAUAUGUUAUAAAUAAAUUAUUUUGUGCUUUAAACAGUUUUAAACAGUACCGAGCUUUGGAAAAUAUGAUUUUUAUAUUUAUUUUACAAAUAAUGUUGAAUUCAUUGGAUUACAAAAUUUUAUAUUAUUACUCGGACAUAAUAUGGUUAAAUAUUUCCUUUCGAUGUGAUAUAUUUUGGAAUUGUAACAACACAUUGUGUUUCAUUUGAGUUCAUAAUGAAAGGAUGUCAAUAUUUUAAGUCCAUAGAUUUAAAAUUGCAUAUAACGUAUGAGAAUGAUAUCCGUUAGAUUAUGAAGUAUAUACCUAUAGCUACUAAUAUAAUAUUUAUGUGUGUCUUCUCAUACUAUGUAUACGACUAUAAGAGUAAUAAAUUAAAGAGCAUGACUAGACAUAGAAACCUUAGCAAUAUUCAACAUCAUAAUUAAGUAUCAUCCUCCACAUUUUCGCACUAUAAAUUAAUAUCAAAUUUAUUUAUUUAAAAAAUUGUGUCAGAUAAAUAAAAUUUAUUUUAACAUAUUUUCUAAAAUCUCAUCAAUUAAAAUUCUAAAAAUAAGAGAUUAACUAUAAUAAAAUUUGUAUAAAAUGGGUUUAGUUGCAAAUAAAGGAAUAAUUCUGGCUCCUUUCAGAUUAAACUGUUUUCAUUUAUAAUAAAAAAAAAAAUGUUUUCCAAAUUAAUGACACUCAUCUUACAAUAACAUAAAAGGGCCAUCAAAUAACUAUCACUACAUGUAUCAAAAAAAAUUGUUUUAUUUAUAAAUCCUUGUGACUACAAUAUUAAAUGGUUUUAAUUUAAGGUCAUUUAUUUUUUAAAUUUAUAUUGUAAAAAUUUAGAUUUCAAUAAUUUUUUGUGUGAAUUUAAAAUUGUUAGAAUAAUUUUGUUAUUUGAUGUAAUGACUCUUAAUUGAGGUUGUUUUUGUGGCUCAUAGGCAGAAAUGAUUAUUUAAUAAUAUAUGUAAUAUUAUUGUUAUAACUAAAUUCUAAGGAUUUUAGUGUAAAGCUGUUAGAAUAAUUUUGUUAAUUUAUAUCAUGAAUAUUAAUUAAGGUUGGUUUUAUGUCUUCUACUAAGCAGAAUUACUAAUAAUAUUUAUAUAACGCCACAUAAAAAUUAAAUUAUAAGAAUUUUAACAUAACAUUGGAAGAAUAAUUUAUGUUAUGACAUUUAGUUAAGGUUUUUUUUUGUGAUUCUUAAGCAAAAGUGAUUAUUUAUUAAUAUAUAAAAUUACAUGUAAGAACUAACUAAAUAUUAAAGUUUAAGUACAAAAAGAACAUUGUAACUACCCACUAAUUUCCAAAGUAGAUACUUAAACUAAAGAAUAUAAAAACUUCUAAUAAUACAUAUAUCAAUUAUUAUAACACAUAAACGCUUCUGUCGUCUGAGUUUUUAUGCCUCUUGGGCUUUUCUCAGCUACAUUAAUAAAACAUUUAAACCCGAUUGUAUUGAUUUUAAUAAAUUAUCAACUCGUUACAACUCUAAACUAUUUUAUAUUUUUAUUACAUACAUAAAUACUAAACCAGACACACAAAUUUUCUAAAACGUCUAAAGCUAUGACACUGAUAACUUAAAAAAUCUUAAAUGAUGUUAUUCUGGAUAUUUUCAUAUCGACAUAUAAGUAUUUUCCCGAAUAUUUAGAUUAAUAGGCGAAAUGAGUGUACGAGUAGUCAGUAACGCGUGCUGUUGAGUUCUUUUUUUUUAUAUGUUCAUUUAAUGUAUACGUGUAAUUAGUUAUUGUAAGGCAACGUUGCUUUUAAAAUUAUGCGGGAUCGUGCAUGUAGUUCAAUGGCUAUUAAAAUCAACGCAAUACAUUAAAUUUUCAAAAUCGUGUUAUGGCCAAACGAACACUAUUCAGUUUAUUCGUAAACAGAGUAGCAACCUUAUAUAAUCCUGAUACCUGAGUCGCGGUUUUUGUACUUAAAAUCCGCGGUGCGGCGGAGAUCAAGGCACAUUAGUAGCGCGUGUGAAGUCAUUGUACAAUAUAAAUCGUAGAAUCGUUGUUAUAAGGUAGAUAUUGUCCUAUUGUCAUUUUGUUUCAAAUUAUAUGACUACAAGCACAACACUUCCUAAAAACCGUCGUUUGAGUAUCAGGAUAUCAUGGUUUGGUGACGUUGUCUCGAUUUAUCAGUAGUACGAGUGCAUAUCUGCUGUAUACGUCGAAUAUCAGUCACAAAAUUAGUUUUUUUAGUAAAUUUAUUUUCCAUCUAGAUAAGAGCGUUUAAAAUUUUAUGUAUUUUAUUAGAAAUUCAAACGAUUUAAAAAAUAUUAAACAUUUUUUGUAACAAUCCAUAAUAUAUUGCAUUUUGUAUCUCAUGCCGUUG